GGCAGACGCGCACGUGGGUGCAGGGGGUGGGGGCGCAUCUCGCGGACCGCGCGCAGUGACAGCAGGGCCCGGCUCGGGCCGCCCGGGCGUCGGCGCCGGCGGGAACGCGACGUCUUGCGGCAAGAAACGGCGUGGCGCAGCUCCUGCAGCAUCUCCUGGCACACCGACACCUGGGGGUGGCGCGGGCGGUCACCGUCCCGGCGCAGUCCGCCUCCCGCCUCCCCCAGCCCCUCUCCACAUCCCACUCCUCCUCCUCCUUUCCUCGCCCGGGUCUUUCUUCCUUCUGCCCUCGCUUCCCUUCCCACUUCUCUUCCCUUUAUCUCCCCCGUGUUUUCUGCCUCCCCUCUCCACCUCUCCCCACUUAUCUUCAAUGUCUCCAUUCUACUCUGCGUUUGUUCCUGAAUCUGCCCUUCACCUUCCACCUAAGCUCCUCUCUUUCCUCUGGUCUUUUCACUGUCUCUAAAUUUUCUCCAGUUCUUCCUUCCUGAUUUCCCAUCUUCUGCCCCUCAUCCAUGCGUUCAUUAUUGCAAGGCAUAUUUACCUGUGGCCUGCUGUGUGCCCGGCACUGUUCUGAGCACUGGGGAUAUGGCAGAGAAGGAAACAGACAGAAGUCCCAGCCCUCGUGGAGGUUAUGCUCAAGUGUGCAGAGACAGAAGAUAACAGACAUGUAUGUAGUGUGUUAGGCGUGGUGAGUGCUUUGGAAAGAAAGAAAAUCGGGAAGAGGCCUAAGGUGUAUGGGUAGGGAGUGACGAUGAAUUCUGAGACAGGACAGUCAAGGAAGACCUCACUGAGAGAAGGAUCCUUAAAUAAAGACAGGGUGAGCCACUGGAGACCUGGGAAGCCAGCCUGCUGGACAGAUAACCGGGCAGGGCCGAAAUGCCCAGGUGGGAGUGACUUGGCACGUCUGAGGCACUGCAAGCAGGUCAGCAUGGCUGGAGGGGGGCGUGCACAGGGAAGACAGAAAAAUGAGGUCAAAGGAGCAGUGGCGGCCAGCUCUGGUAAGGCCCAUAAACCACUGGAAGGAUUUUUGGCUUUCAUUCUGAAAAUCAGAAUGAGAGUCAGACGGGAAUCACUGGGGAGCUUUAGGUAGAGGAGUGCUGUGUUUUCAUAGGAUCACUCUGUGUUGAGAACAGAUUGUAGGGAGGCCAAGGCAAGAGCAGGGAGCUCAUGGAGGAAGCUAUGACAAUAACCCGGGCAGGAGAUAGGGAUGGCUGGACCAGAGCGACCUGAGAAAGGUCUGGAUUCUGGAUAUAUUCUGAAGGUGGAGCCAAUAGGAUCUGCUAAGAGAUCAGAUACGGGGCAUGGAAGAGAGAGAAUAGUGAAAGAAAGCUCCAAUAUUUUGGCCCGAGCAACUGGAAGGACCAAAUUGCCUCACAGGUGGGCAGAAGCCCAAUGUUGGACACAUCGCAUCACGUGCACACCUAUCAGAUAUCCAAGUGGAGAUACCAAGUGUGGAGCUGAAGUUGCAGACCUUGGCUUCAGGGGAGACACAUAUUUGUGGGUUAAGGCAGGCAGCCUUCAAGAUCCCACCUCCCGCGUCCACGCCCCUGUGUAAUCCCCUCUGACACUGUGUCAGAGCUGGUCUGUGUGACCAACAGAAUAAGUUUCAGCCAUUGCACAUUCUGCUUCCGCCUUGCUCUCUCUGAUCACUCGCCCUGGGGGAUCUCAGCUGCCAUGGUGUGAGGACACUCAAGCAGUCCUUGGAGAGGUCCUUGUCUGAGGAACUGAGGCCUCCUGCCAACUGCCAUGUGAGUGUAUUCAUCAUGUUUUUUAUUUUCUGUGUCUUAGGAUGUUUUGACACUUUAAACAUCUUGCAGGCUGGGGAGAGACUACCCCUCCCAGAACUAGCCAAGCCUUAGAGAUAGCAGAGGGCUCAGCUGCCUUUCAUGUGCAAACCAACCAAUCUAUACCCCCAACCUCCCCCUUUACCUAACUCUCACAUACCAAGCCAAUAUUCUUCCUGACCUAAAUCAACCCGGGGCCAGGUACCAGAUAAGUAGGGACAGCCCCUAUAGCCCAGAGUCCACUGACAUUAUCCAAACUGGUGAAUCGUAAGCUGUUUCCCCUUCUCCUGGGAAAUGUUAAAGAAUAAAAAUCAUUUUUCUUUCUGUUUCUUUUUGAGACAGUCUCACUCUGUCACCCAGGCUGGAGGGCAGUGGUGCAAUCUCGGCUCACUGCAACCUCCACCUCCCAGAUUCAAGUAAUUCUCCUGUCUCAGCCUCCUGAGUAGUUGGGACUACAGGUGUCCACCACCAUAUCUGGCUAAUUUUUGUGUUUUCAGUAGAGACAGGGUUUCACCAUGUUGGCCAUGCUGGUCUUGAACUCCUGGCCUCAUGUGAUCUGCCCUCCUCAGCCUCCCAAAGUGCUUGGAUUACAGGCGUGAGCCACCACACCUGGGCAAAAAUCAUCUUUCAAUGAAAUUGGUCUCCAUGUUGUCACUUGGCCACCUCCAGAAACUAAAAUCCCAUGGGGACAUUUGGGACAGUGAGCCAUCUUAGAACGGAACCCUCCACCCUUUGUUGAGCCUUCAGACCACAGCAGUCUGGCCAAAAAACAUGACUAUGACCUCAUCAGAGACCCAUGGCAGCCAGAAACAUCCAGCUAAGCUGCUCCGAGGCUCUGGACCCACAGAAACUGUGAACCAAUGGAAGCUGGCUUUUUAAAAGCUGUUAAGGUCAUUUGUUAUGAUAGCAAUAGAUAACUAACACAAGAAUCACCAGCACAUAGUGGGUCUUAAGAGCCAUUUGGCUGGUGG
rnacentral:lncRNA from 1 species